CGGGUGAGUAACACGUAUCCAACCUGCCGUCUACUCUUGGACAGCCUUCUGAAAGGAAGAUUAAUACAAGAUGGCAUCAUGAGUCCACAUGUUCACAUGAUUAAAGGUAUUCCGGUAGACGAUGGGGAUGCGUUCCAUUAGAUAGUAGGCGGGGUAACGGCCCACCUAGUCUUCGAUGGAUAGGGGUUCUGAGAGGAAGGUCCCCCACAUUGGAACUGAGACACGGACCAG
rnacentral:rRNA from 1 species